rnacentral:rRNA from 1 species
CUAUUAGUAACUGCGAGUGAAGAGGGAAGAGCUCAAAUUUGAAAUCUGGCAGUGUUUUACUGCUCGAGUUGUAAUCUAGAGAAGUGUUACCCGUGCUGGACCAUGUACAAGUCUCCUGGAAUGGAGCAUCAUAGAGGGUGAGAAUCCUGUCUUUGACAUGGACUACCAGUGCAAUUGUGGUGUGCUCUCAAAGAGUCGAGUUGUUUGGGAAUGCAGCUCUAAAUGGGUGGUAAACUCCAUCUAAAGCUAAAUAUUGGCAAGAGACCGAUAGCGAACAAGUACCGUGAGGGAAAGAUGAAAAGAACUUUGGAAAGAGAGUUAAACAGUAUGUGAAAUUGUUGAAAGGGAAACACUUAAAGUCAGUGAUGUCGGCCAGGGAUCAAGUCCGCAUUUUUUAAAUGCUGGGUGUACUUCCUGAUCUGACAGGUCAACAUGAGUUUUGACUGCUGGAAAAGGAUUGGGGGAAUGUGGCACCUUCGGGUGUGUUAUAGCUCUCUAUCAAAUGCAGUGGUUGGGACUGAGGAAGGCAGCACGCCACAAGGCCGAGUUUCGACUACGUUCGUGCUGAGGAUGUUGGCAUA